rnacentral:rRNA from 1 species
GUAGGAGCCUAGCGUUAUCCGAAUUUACUGGGCGUAAAGCGCAAGCAGGCGGCUCGAUAAGUUGGCUGUGAAAUCUCCCGGCUCAACUGGGAGGCGACGGUCAAGACUGUCGGGCUGGAGGCAGGUAGAGGGAGGUGGAAUUCCCGGUGUAGUGGUGAAAUGCGUAGAUAUCGGGAGGAACACCAGUGGCGAAAGCGGCCUCCUGGACCUGACCUGACGCUGAGGUGCGAAAGCUAGGGGAGCGAACGGGAUUAGAAACCCCGGUAGUCCUAGCCGUAAACGAUGUGGACUGGGCGUGGGUGGGGUAAAAGCCAUCCGUGCCGCAGCCAACGCGCUAAGUCCACCGCCUGGGGACUACGGCCGCAAGGUUAAA